CCUACCUAAGAACACAACUUGCUUAUAUGAACAUCCAAGCUGUUCCAGUUGACAAGCAAAAUAGCUUAAUUUUAAGUCAGAAAAACUCUCUCCAACUCAGAAAUGUAAUACAACUAAGAGCAAGUAUACGUUCCUGUGUUUGCGGAGAGGAGUUGGCAACUGACACGAUGCAGAGAGAGGCACCGAAUGAAACCUAUUUUGAACAGAUGUUAGUAUUUUACAAAAGUCACGUGAAAUGAACAGAUGUUCUUGUGGAACAGGGACUCGCCUUAGUUCGAGAGCAUUCCUCGACAGAAAGGCUUCGAAAUAAGAUCGGAGAGAAGCAAUAGCGUUCUAUUCACAACAAAAAACGACUAAGCACAUCGUGUGGGUGAUAAUAGAUUACCACGGGCCUCACCUGCGAUGGAACCUCGGCCUAGUCCCAUAGGAAAUCUAGCAAACUAAAAUGGACGGUUCCAACCGCGCAGGAAUUUGCUGGAGAUGGGGCAGGGGCGUUUGUGAAGCAGGUCGUCAACAGGCUGACUCAUCACACAUGGCCCCAGAACCGUGUCCCUCUGCCAAGAUGACACUGCACAGGAUAUAGUCCUCAUCAUCUGCCACCUGGUCAGGUGACCCUGACAACAACAACAACAACAACAACAAGAAACAAACAACAGUUGAUUGGAUGGUGUAAGAGCUAUGAUCCUGACUGCAAGUUUCCAUUGAGGUCCGACUGAAUCUACCAAUGGAUGUCCUGGUGUAUCUGCUUCUGGACUAAACAGGGCUGGAGAGGACCACAGUUCCUCACAACAAAUAGGCCCACAUCAAUGAACUUCUCCAGAUGAGACCGUGUGGAAUACUGAUGUGAUACUCAUACAUGCAAAAUGAUACUACAUGAUAGAAUAGCAUGGAGAACUUUAUGACACAAACAACAGUCAUACUGAAGCUAACAUGGACAAGUUUGCAAUGAUGCAAUAUUUAGGAAUUGAUAUCCACAAAAUAAUGGGUGGAUGAUCACUAGUUACAAAAGUGAAAUUGCACACACUUUCUUUUUAGGAGUAUAUUUAUAGAUGUUAUGUUUUACAAGUAUUUUUUUGAUUAUGGUGUAGUUUGUAAAUACCCAUUUUUGCUUUUCUUGUAUUUAUUUAGAGAAAAUGUAUGUUGGCACAUUUUAUUGCAAAUAUUAAUGUUUGGUGCUUGAUGAGAAGUUAUCUUCAAAAAGUUUUGUAACAAGAUUUGGUUUUACAAUAUUAAAGACAUUGAAGGCUG